AAAUCUAUAAGUGUUAGUAUUUAUUGACUCGGGUUAUAAUGGAGGAUCAAAAUUGGAAUAAUUCCUGCCUAUAUCAUUGCUAUAUACGAAUAAGAAGUUGUGUUUAUUUCCUUUAUAACACAGUUGUUAUAGCUGAUCUAAUUAAAGUUUAAUUCUUCAAAUUGUUAUGGUGACUACGUUAAUUUUCUUUUUCUCUUCUAUUUACGUACCGGAGGCACACACAUUAUGCAUCACUGUUUAAUAGACGACGCACUUGGUACAAAAAACAAAUCAUUGAACUCAAAUUAUAUGUACUACUUAAAAAUGGUCGAAUAAGAAAAUGAAAGUUUGCAUAGAUUAUUCUUUUAGAAAUUGACAACUUUUCCACCCAGCCAAUAUCGAAAUUCGAAGAAUGUUGAAAAUCAAAAACGCUUUAACCUACAGUUCUGGAAAUUAUUUUAAAUAGUUAAAAAUUGAAAUCUUUUAUUCUCCUAAUAUGGUAAAUUAAAAUAAAUAUAUUCAAUUUA
rnacentral:lncRNA from 1 species